GAUGAAGAACGUAGCGAAAUGCGAUAAGUAAUGUGAAUUGCAGAAUUCAGUGAAUCAUCGAGUUUUUGAACGCAUAUUGCGCCCUCUGGUAUUCCGGGGGGCAUGCCUGUUCGAGCGUCAUUAAAUAACCCUCAAGCAUAGCUUGGUGUUGGGCUUUUUUACGUCCUUGACUGGGAUGGGCCUAAAAAUUAGUGGCGAUGGCUUUUUUACUUUCAAGCGUAGUAAAUCUCGUCUUGCUAAAGAGGAAAAAGAUUUUUUUUCUGCCAAAAAUUUUAACAUUUAAAGUUGACCUCGGAUCAGGUAGGAUUACCCGCUGAACUUAAGCAUAUCAAUAAGCGGAGG
rnacentral:misc_RNA from 1 species